GAUGAAGAACGCAGCGAAAUGCGAUAAGUAAUGUGAAUUGCAGAAUUCAGUGAAUCAUCGAAUCUUUGAACGCACAUUGCGCCCGCUGGUAUUCCGGCGGGCAUGCCUGUUCGAGCGUCAUUUCAACCCUCGAGCUCUCCGGAGUUUGGUGUUGGGGCGCCUGGGGCUUUUCGACCUCAGGGCCCUCAAGUCCAUCGGCGGGACCGCCAGGACACUGAGCGCAGUAGUAUUAUUUCGCUCGGUAGGAUCUUCCACGGCGGGUUGAUCUGGCCGCUAAACCCCCCAAUUCUCACCAAAGGUUGACCUCGGAUCAGGUAGGAAUACCCGCUGAACUUAAGCAUAUCAAUAAGCGGAGGA
rnacentral:misc_RNA from 1 species